rnacentral:rRNA from 1 species
AUGGCCGAACGGGCCAAUCUGGUCUUUCAUAAUAAAGAGAUAGACGGAACUGGUAUGAAACGACUUAUUAGAAGAUUAAUAGAUCAUUUCGGAAUGGGAUAUACAUCCCAUAUACUGGAUCAACUAAAGACUCCUAGCUUCCAUGAAGCCACUACUACAUCGAUUUCGUUAGGAAUCGAGGAUCUUUUAACAAUACCCUCUAAGGGAUGGUUAGUCCAAGACGCGGAACAAGAAAGUUUUCUUUUGGAGAAACACUAUUAUUAUGGGGCUGUACACACUGUAGAAAAAUUACGCCAAUCUAUUGAGAUAUGGUAUGCGACAAGUGAAUAUUUGAAACAAGAGAUGAAUUCAAAUUUUCGGAUAACGGAUCCUUAA